rnacentral:tRNA from 1 species
GCCCGGCUAGCUCAAUCGGUAGAGCGUGAGACUCUUAUCCAAGUGUCAUCUCAAGGUUGCGGGUUCGACCCCCGCGUUGGGCU